rnacentral:rRNA from 1 species
AUUGAACGCUGGCGGCAGGCCUAACACAUGCAAGUCGAACGGUAGCACAGAGCGCUUGCUCUCGGGUGACGAGUGGCGGACGGGUGAGUAAUGUCUGGGAAACUGCCCGAUGGAGGGGGAUAACUACUGGAAACGGUAGCUAAUACCGCAUAACGUCGCAAGACCAAAGUGGGGGACCUUCGGGCCUCACACCAUCGGAUGUGCCCAGAUGGGAUUAGCUAGUAGGUGGGGUAAUGGCUCACCUAGGCGACGAUCCCUAGCUGGUCUGAGAGGAGGACCAGCCACACGGGAACUGAGACACGGUCCAGACUCCUACGGGAGGCAGCAGUGGGGAAUAUUGCACAAUGGGCGCAAGCCUGAUGCAGCCAUGCCGCGUGUAUGAAGAAGGCCUUCGGGUUGUAAAGUACUUUCAGCGGGGAGGAAGGCGGUGAAGUUAAUAGCUUCACCGAUUGACGUUACCCGCAGAAGAAGCACCGGCUAACUCCGUGCCAGCAGCCGCCGUAA